rnacentral:rRNA from 1 species
UACGUAGGGUGCGAGCGUUGCCCGGAUUUAUUGGGCGUAAAGGGCGCGCAGGCGGCAGUUCAAGUCUGCUGUCAAAGACCGGGGCUUAACUUCGGAAAGGCAGUGGAAACUGAACAGCUAGAGUAUGGUAGGGGCAGAGGGAAUUCCUGGUGUAGCGGUGAAAUGCGUAGAGAUCAGGAAGAACAUCGGUGGCGAAGGCGCUCUGCUGGACCAUAACUGACACUCAGGGACGAAAGCUAGGGGAGCGAAUGGG